rnacentral:rRNA from 1 species
GACGAACGCUGGCGGCGUGCUUAACACAUGCAAGUCGAACGGAAAGGCUCCAGCUUGCUGGAGUACUCGAGUGGCGAACGGGUGAGUAACACGUGGGUAAUCUGCCCUGCACUCUGGGAUAAGCCUGGGAAACUGGGUCUAAUACUGGAUAUGACCUUUCUCCUUAUGGGGUUUGGUGGAAAGUUUUUCGGUGUAGGAUGAGCCCGCGGCCUAUCAGCUUGUUGGUGGGGUGAUGGCCUACCAAGGCGACGACGGGUAGCCGGCCUGAGAGGGUGAUCGGCCACAUUGGGACUGAGAUACGGCCCAGACUCCUACGGGAGGCAGCAGUGGGGAAUAUUGCACAAUGGGCGGAAGCCUGAUGCAGCGACGCCGCGUGAGGGAUGACGGCCUUCGGGUUGUAAACCUCUUUCAGCAGGGACGAAGCGUAAGUGACGGUACCUGCAGAAGAAGCACCGGCUAACUAUGAG